GAUGAACGCUGGCGGCGUGCCUAAUACAUGCAAGUCGAGCGAACGGAAGAGAAGCUUGCUUCUCUGAUGUUAGCGGCGGACGGGUGAGUAACACGUGGAUAACCUACCUAUAAGACUGGGAUAACUUCGGGAAACCGGAGCUAAUACCGGGUAAUAUUUUGAACCGCAUGGUUCAAAAGUGAAAGACGGUCUUGCUGUCACUUAUAGAUGGAUCCGCGCUGCAUUAGCUAGUUGGUAAGGUAACGGCUUACCAAGGCAACGAUGCAUAGCCGACCUGAGAGGGUGAUCGGCCACACUGGAACUGAGACACGGUCCAGACUCCUACGGGAGGCAGCAGUAGGGAAUCUUCCGCAAUGGGCGAAAGCCUGACGGAGCAACGCCGCGUGAGUGAUGAAGGUCUUCGGAUCGUAAAACUCUGUUAUUAGGGAAGAACAUAUGUGUAAGUAACUGUGCACAUCUUGACGGUACCUAAUCAGAAAGCCACGGCUAACUACGUG
rnacentral:rRNA from 1 species